rnacentral:other from 1 species
AGAGCCCUACUGUGUGCGUGAUGUAGGAAUAAAUGCCUUGAGCCAAGUAUGUGAUAUUGGGGACUUUGCGCGUGUCCGGGCAGUACCCGGACCGGGAAGUCAAAAUCGCAUCGCGAACCCACAGUUAUCGUGUUGGGUUCAAGGGCAUGCCUAAACACACGGCACGGUGGGGUUUUU